rfam:Myotis brandtii contig190709, whole genome shotgun sequence.
UGUGGUUCUCAGGUGAUGCACCCGGAACCAGAGAGGAGGGAGCCUGAUUCCAGGGUGCAUCACCCGAGAACUGCC